UUCGGCGGCCAUAGCGUGAGGGAAACGCCCGGUCACAUUCCGAACCCGGAAGCUAAGCCUCACAGCGCCGAUGGUACUGCAGGGGGGACCCUGUGGGAGAGUAGGACACCGCCGAAC
rnacentral:rRNA from 3 species